GGGAGGUGGAAAAGAAACAAAUAAGUUAGGCAUGUGUAACUAAAGCUACCAGAAUUCAUCUUGUACAGCAAGGAACUCCAAAUUACAGUCCACAGGGACACAACUGGCACCCUUCUUGGUCUGGUGUGACCUACCAGCUUAGAGUGUUUUUCCAUACUUUUUUAAAUUGUAGAAAAGCUGAGAAGGGGCCAUAAAUUGUUCUAUAGGAAGGUGAUCGUGUUCAUUCAUUUAAACAGGGUCUAUGGGACUUCCCCUAGGCUUCCCUGAUGGCUAAUCUGGUAAAGAAUCCGCCUGCCAAUGCAGGAGACAUAGGAGAUGCAGGUUUGAUCCUUGGGUCAGAAAGAUCCCCUGGAGAAGCGAGUGGCAACCCACUCCAGUAUCCUUGCCUGGAGAAUUCCAUGGACAGAGGAGCCUGGUGGGCUACAGUCCAUGGGGUCGCGAAGAGUUGGAUGCGACUGAAGUGACUUAGCACACACGCAUACCAGUUUUGGAGGCUGGAAGCUCCACGAUCAAGACAGAGCAGGUGGCUGGUGGACAGCGGUCUCCCUGUGUCCUCAGAGGGCACAAGGGGUGAGCCGUCACUCUGGGGUCUCUUUCAUAAAGGCCCUCAUUCCACCCGGGAGGGUCCCGCCCUCAUGACCAAGUCACCUCCCAAAGGCCCUGCCUGCUAACACCAUCCCCGUGGUGACCUCAGCUUGCACUGAGGGAAGAGUUAGUGCAAAGACCAGAGAGCUGCUCACACGUACAGCGUGCACCAGCAAGGCUCUUGGUUUAAGGAGCAAACCCUCUGAAGAAACUGCACGCAGGCUGAGGUCAGUAUGCGAGCCGCACCCCCCCCCCCUCACCGCCGCGGUCUCUGUGUUCCUUGCUGUGUUGUCUUCAUUGAACUGUGCUUUCUGCAGGACUUGUUUUUCCGUGGCAUCUAGGUGCAUCAUAUCAUGUCCACACAGAGAGGCAUGCUUUGUCCACGUCAACUCUGUCAUUCAGUUGAUGACAAUUUGUGAAGCAAUGUGUCAUCUCAAUGCCCAAGCACAUACCGGAAUAGGGCAAGUCCAUGCCUAUAGCGAUCUUAUAGCCCAAAAGGGAAUCAGAAGGGUAUCCACAAGCGCACAAGGCAGGAGUAAGAAGCACAAACCAAAUGGAAGUG
ensembl:lncRNA